AGCAACAUGGCGCAGGGGAAGCGUGAGUGAAGUUCCUGCCCCUCUACAACGAGGUGCUAACACGUAACAGGCGCCGGGCUCAUACAUCACGUGAUGUCCACGUGACCCGGAGGACCUUGGAUCGAAACCAAGUGUUGCUA